AUCGUUUCUUACUUCAGACCACUUUCCAUGCUCCGAUGAACACAGAUUGGUAAUUCUGUCUGCUGGUUAACGGUCCCUCGUGUUGUUCUUAUUUUCUUUCCGAUGGGCUUGCGAUUCUGCGGUCGCCAACUGGGAAGUUUGUAAUUACUCGUGAUCUUGAAUUGGAAUCAUUGUUAUUAUUGGUACAGGAAGAUGACCACUCCCCAGUCAGGCUGACCGCCUGGAGACAGCGACAAGGAAGUCGAACCAAGAGAAGCAAGAUCUCCCAGUCGUCGAGUCAUGCUCCCAGGUUGGUUCGACGCCUUCAGGGUGGACGGAGGCCCUACUUUAUAUUCGUAUGCAAACAGGACGUCUGUCAUCGAAGAUAUCAGGAAUAUCCUUAUUUAUGUCACAUUCUCUACCCUCUUCAUAGCAUUCCUGCUCAUCUUUCCUGGAAUCCGAAAAGAAAGGUUCUCAACAUUAAUAACAGUAACUACAAGUCUCUUUGUUGGAGCGAUUAUAUUAU